UAAAUUUUCAUUUUCAUUUUGUUCUUUGUUUUUACUGAUUUUAGGGUUUUGGUUGGGGUUUUUUAGUUACUAAUUCGAUUUCGUUCCAUAAUUAAGCAUCUAAUACAUUGUCCAAUGCAUGUUUUCUUAAUUGCCUCUUCUAUUUACAAGGCAGGCGAUAUUUCUCUUGCUUUGCAUUUGAUUUCGUGUUCGUUUGGGUCUGUCUCCAGCCAGAUUUGACAGAUUUUCUAGGCGAUCCGUGUCGCGUCUGUUGCUCUUCCUCUCUGUCAUUCAUUCAUUCAUGAUUGAACGAACUCCAGGUAGAUAAGUUGAUUUGAAUUGCUGCUUUGUAGCCAUGGAAGUCCUUUGAUUGUUGUCUUUUCAGUUUAUCAUUCUUAUGCAGUCUUGAGUGCUGUUCUUCUUUCUACGCUAUGAUUACAUUUUUUUUCUCCUUGCCUUCAGAUGCAGUACAGGCUGUGGAUUUCAUUGGAGUCAGCUUUCACCAUGUCAGGAGGCUCUCUCUGUGUUUUUGUUCAUAGCAGGUUCUAGAGGAGUAGCCUGAGCUUUUGGUUUCGUUUCCAGCAGUUUCCAUGUGAAUCGCCUUACAAUUCUUGCUGUGGAAUUCCAGCUUAGAAUAGAUUGCUCUUCGCCUUCUGCUUUUACAGAUAUGUAGAUUGUUGGUAUUUGUGCGGAGAUGCAUGGAAGAGGGAAUAAUGGUAGAAUUGCUAUGAGCUGAUGAACAACUUGGUAAGAUGGCAGAUCGGAAAAAAUUGAACCAUAAAUGACUUCCAUCAUGAACAAAUACAGGCAUACACAUGUAGAAGAUGAUCAUUGUGAAUUGUAAUAUUGUUUUAGAGUUUACAAUUACAUGAAAUAAUUUGUAGUAUUUCUGAAAUUAAUUAGAGGAGGGAGAUGUAAGGAUUAGUGUGAGAUGUUCCAGUGUAGAUCAGAAUACCGUCAUUAUUAAUUAUUCAAUCAUUCAGCUUAGCUUUAGCUGAUCAUGGUAAGUGAUGGCUGCCAUACAGCAAAAUUUCAUGGUUGCCUUUUUCGCCCAUGAAAUUGAGAAACAUUAUUAGAGCUCUUUAAAGAACUGUCCUCCACCUUAUUGCCUUUCUUCUUUGAAUUUAUGGAAUAAUCUAUUGCCUUGUGCUUGACAUCAAA